ACUGGUGGAUGCCGUGUGGACACAGGAGCACGAUGCCGUUCUGGAACACUUUGCCCAGGACCCUACAGAAUCCAUCCUUACCAUCUUCAUUGACCCUUGUUUGGGGCUGAAGCUAGAGCUGGGCAUGCCUGUACAGCCUAUUGAGCCCCACUGUGUCAGGCACCCUACUUGGUGGCAAGGAUGCUGUCAUGGUCUAGUGGGGAAGACAGACAUAUAAGCCAAUAUUUACUAUAGUUUGUGAUCAUGGGCAAAGCUUUAUAGGAGCUUUAUGGGAGCAACUAAUGGAGCCAGUGGAAUUCUGGGAAGGCUUGAUGGUGGAGGUGCAAUUUGAGCUGGGAUGAAGGGUAAGUAGGAUUUCAUCAAGACUACGUAAGAGCUAUUCAGCAAAGACCACUCCAUGUACAAAGAAAAGAGGAGUAGUGCGAAAUGAUACUGAAAGGGGCUUGGGGUCAGCUUGUGAAGGACCUUGUAUGUUAUACUUGAGAAUUUGGCCGCUGUCCCAGAGAGCGCUGUUGAAGUCUUUUAUAGUUUAGGUAGAUAACUAUUUCAACAAUGCAGAGAAUACAUUAGGCAAGGGUAAACCUAGGGUAGGGAGACAGUUAAAAGAAAGAUGGCUAGUAAAAUGCUGGUAGAAUCUGGGUGGUGGUUGUACAGGUCAUUACUACAAAACUCUUUGAACUUUUCUGUAUAUAUCUUUGAAUACUUUGAAAAUAAAAUGUUGGAAAAGUUAAAAGGCAGUUGCUUUGCUCUUAUUGGCAGCAUGUAUACAAAAGUGGAAAGGAUGAGGGUGAUUGGCAUGGCCCUGCGCAACAGUGACACAGUUUGUGAAGCAUUCUGUAUUGAACAUGGGCAGAAGAGGCUUUGCCCCACGCACUGGCAGUAAUCAGCCACCAAACAAUGAAAAAAUAUUUCAUUUACAAAAGAAACUAAAAUUUGCUAAAUAUAUUUGAAUAUAACUUUUAAUAUGCAAGUAGGAAUUAUAUGAAGGAAAACAACUUUGUUGCAGGCCAUGAAAAAUGAUUUGAAGAAAUCAUGAGCCACAACUUAUUUCUGAGUAGGAAUCUUAAUAUCAUAAAGAUCGUUUUAUAGAAAAAAGUAUCAUUUUAAUGCAACUCUAGUCAUACUGCCUAAAUGCCACAGUUGAUAAUUUCUUGUAUAAAGAAUUUUAAAAUAUAUCUAGAAAAAUUCAUGAAAAUAGCAAAGAUGGCCGGGCACAGUGGCUCACGCCUGUAAUCCCAGCACUUUGGGAGGCUGAGGUGGGUGGAUCAUGAGGUCAAGAGAUUGAGACCGUCCUGGCCAACAUGGUGAAACCCCGUCUCUACUAAAAAUACAAAAAUUAGCCCGUUGUGGUGGUGCGCGCCUAUAGUCCCAGCUACUCAGGAAGUUGAGGCAGGAGAAUCACUUUAACCAGGAGGCAGAGGUUGCAGUGAGCUGAGAUGGCACCAGUGCACUCCAUCCUGGCGACUCCAUCUCAAAAAAAAGAAAAAGAAAAUAGCAAAGAUGAUGAUGAAGAAGGAAAGUAAUAGGGAGACUCAUAAAUAUGAAAAUCAUUAAACUACAGUAAUUAAAAUAGAGUUGUAGGGCAGGAGUAUAUGCAUCAUAAGCAACAGUAAAGAAACAUUGAAAGCACAAAAAUGUACUCUAUAAGCAACAGUAGAUAAAUAUAGGAAAUACGAGACCGGGCGUGGUGACUCACACUGUAAUCCCAGCACUUUGGGAGGCCGAGGUGGGCAGACCACCCGAGGUCAGGAGUUUGAGACCAGCCUGACCAACAUGGAGAAACCCCAUCUCUACUAAAAAUACAAAAAUUAGCUGGGCAUGGUAGUGGACACCUGUAAUCCCAGCCACUUGGGAAGGUGAGGCAGGAGAAUUGGUUGAACCUGGGAGAUGGAAGUUGCAGUGAGCUGAGAUUGUGCCAUUGCACUCCAGCCUGGGCAACAAGAGUAAAACUCUGUUUCAAAAAAAAAAAAAAAAGGGAAAUACAAAAAAAUAGAAAGUACAGAAACAGAUAUAUAAGCAUUUUCUAUUAAAAAAUGGCGUUUAAAAAUCUAUGGGGAGGGAUGGAUUAUUCAAUGAAUAGAAUUGGGAAACAUAUGGAACAUGAAGUUUUUCAAUUAAAAAAAUCUGUUUACCAUGUUGAAAUAUAUUCUUUUUUUUUUGAGAAGGAGUUUCACUCUUGUUGCCCAGGCUAGUGCAAUGGUGUAAUCUCGGCUCACCACAACCUCUGCCUCCUGGGUUCAAGCGAUUCUCCUGCCUCAGCCUUCCAAGUAGCUGGGAUUACAGGUGCAUACCACCACACCCAGCUAAUAUUUGUAUUAUUAGUAGAGACGGGGUUUCACUGUGUUGGCCAGGCUGGUCUCAAACUCCUGACCUCUGGUGAUCCACCUGCCUUAACCUCCCAAAGUGUUGGGAUUACAGGUGUGAGCCAUUGUAUAUAUUUCAGCCUGGCUGAAAUAUAUUCUAAAUAGCUAUCAGACUUAAUUGUAUUCUCCUGGGUGAAGAUGGCCAAUUGAGGCUGGGUGUGGUGGCUUGUGCCUGUAAUCCCAGCACUUUGGGAGGCCGAGGCAGCCUAAUGGCUUGAACUCAGAAGUUUGAGACCAGCCUGGGUAAAGUAGUGAAACCCCAUUUCUACAAAAAAGACAAACAUUAGCCAGGCAUAGUGGUGCACACCUAUAGUCCCAGCUAUUUUGGAGGCUGAGGUGGGAGGAUCACUUGAGCCUGGGAGGUGGAGGUUGCUGCGAGGUAUGAUCACUGCACUCCAGCUGGAGUGACAGAGCGAGACCCUGUCUCAAAAAAAAAAAAAGAUGGCCAAUGGAAACUUUCUUAAAAAAUUAUUACCUUUGGAGCACCGAGGUGUGCUGAGCAGGAGCAGGGAACAAAGGAGCGGAGAGGGGAGGAGAGAGAGUUGGGCAAGGGAGAUCCCCCGGCCGGCUGCCGGAAGAUCCUGGCGGGAGGAAGCCAGAGUGUCACUUGAAUUCCACUCAAGGAGUGGGCGCCAGGGAUCAGAGCACCCUGUUUAGCAAUAACGGCUGUAGCACGUCCUACAAGUUAAGGGAGAGUCAGCUGUGAAGGAGACGAUCGCUUCUCCCCUGGGUCGCUGCUCCUGGCCCCUUGAGACCCCAGCCCUGCCUCGAGCUGGGAGAGGAGUUCCAGAAUGAAAGGCAAGAAAGGUAUUGUUGCAGCAUCUGGCAAUGAGAGUGAGGAUGAGGACAGUAUGGACAUUCCCUUGGACAUUUCUUCAUCCACUGGCUCAAGCAAGAGAAGGAGAAGGGGCAACCUACCCAAGGAGUCUGUGCAGAUUCUUUGGGACUGGCUGUAUGAGCACCAUUAUAAUGCCUAUCCUUCCAAGCAAGAAAAAGCACUGCUGUCCCAGCAAACACACUCUCUACACUACAGGUCUGUAACUGGUUCAUCAACGCCUGCCGAAGGCUCCUCCCUGACAUGCUGAGAAAGGAUGGCAAAGAUCCAAAUCAGUUCACAAUUUCCUGUUGCGGAGCCAAGAUUUCCGAAAUGAGCUCCAUGGAGUCUGUGAUGGGCGUCAGAAACUUCAUGUCAGCUCUAGAGGAGACCCCGUUUCAUUCCUGUACAGCUGGGCCAAACCCAACCCUAGGGAGGCCACUGUCUCCUCAGCCAUCAUCCCUGGGAUCAGUAUUGGCUCGUCCAUCAGUGAUCUGCCAUACCACUGUGAAUGCAUUGAAAGAUGUCCCUUUCUCUCUCUGCCAGUCGGUUGGUGUGGGACAAAACACAGAUAUAUAGCAGAUAGUGGCCAGCAACUUCACAGACACCUCUCUCACAUACCCAGAGGACACGUGUAAAUCUGGACCAAGUACAAAUACACAGAGUGGUCUUUUCAACACUCCUCCCCCUACUCUGCUGGACCUCAACCAGAACUUUAGUGGAUUUCAGCUUCUAGUGGAUGUUGCACUCAAAUGGGUUGCAGAGAUGGAGCUUCAGACAAAACUUACAGCUUAACCCAUUUUCAAGCAAAACCGUUCUCAGAAAUGUCAUGAUUGCUGGGGUGAUGGCAAGAGAUUAAUUGCAUUAUUUUAUAUAUUUUUUAUUAAUAUUUGCACAUAGGAUUGCUAAAACAGCUUCCUGUUACUGAGAUGUCUUCAAUGGAAUACAGUCAUUCCAAGAACUAUAAACUCAAAGCUAUUGUAGAAACGAAGGGUUUUCUUUUUUAAAUGUUUCUUGAUAGAUUAUUCAUAAUGUGAGAGGUUCCCAAUAUCAUGUGAUUUUUUUUCCCUUCCCUUCCCCUUUUUUGUUAUUUUUUCAGACUGUGCAAUACUUAGAGAACCUAUAGCAUCUUCUCAUUCCCAUGUGGAACAGGAUGCCCACAUACUGUCUAAUGAAUAAAUUUUCAAAUUUUUUUCAAACAAGUAUGAAUCUAGUUGAUGCCUUUUUUAUGACAUAAUAAAGUAUUUUCUUUAAAAAAA